GUGAAUCAUCGAAUUUUUGAACGCAAAUUGCACUCUCCGGUAUUCCGGUGAGUAUUCUUGUUUGGGCGUCUGUUUAAAUAACAAUCGUUGUGGUUGCUGGUUUUCGUGGUGACGCAUUGGGUUUGGUUAGUCUUGCCUUCGGUUAAGUGACCUAAAAUUUUGCAUGAUUUUUUUUGAACGUAUUUAAAUGUUUUUACGUACGUUCUCGAUAUCAUAUAUUAUGUGUGGUC
rnacentral:misc_RNA from 1 species